GUGUGUGGAGCUAGUGCGUGCACACAGGGCACUCGACCGGCCUCUCUCCAGUGCGAGGUGAUGCUGGCCCCCUGGGUCUAUCCCGUUGCAAAGUGCUGCCCUUCCAAACAAGACUGCCUCAGUCUGCAGCCAAACCUUCGCCUGGGGAUCCGGGGAGAGCUGGGAGGACUGCGCGUGUGCCUGGGUGGGCGGCCGUGUCGUCACAAUGGGCUGCGCCUCGACGGACCAAUAAGAAACCUCGGAGGACCGGAAGGAGUUCGGUCCUCCUGCCAAUCAGAGCCCCCCCAUUGUUUGAAUGCGGAAGUUGGGCCAUGAGCUUCUGAAGUUGCUACUGCCCCUCUCUCUCUGAAUGAAGAUUGAGCUUCAGCCCAGACUGCAGCUUCCCCCUUUCUCCGUCCAACAUCUGUGAGUGCAGCACCCUCCCCUCCUUUUCUCAUUUCUGGGAUCAAACUAUUGACUUGCAGCAGCUGAUCAGGGAAAGGAGGUGAAUCCAAACUCUGGAAAAGUUUGGCCACGACCUCCUUCUUUUAAAGACAUCCUUUACUCCCUCGGUUUGACACUUUUAUUUGUUUGACUCAAAGGAUGGCCUCUCUUUACUAAUGGAAGUGGUGGUUUGGCAGGAAAUAGCUGACAUUCAUGUGGUGAGCAGAUGACAUGGAGCAGAGGGUGACCGAAACUGUGCACAGUACUCCCAAGUGCGGCCUGUAACCUAAUGUGCCAACUCAACGGAUAUUCAGAGGGAGCUGGAGAGAAAUCAUUGGAAGAUCCGAAAUGGAGUGCCGUUUUGCUGAGAGCUGAGAUGGAAGUUCGACAGAGAGUAACUGCCAUCGAGAAAGACUGCCA